UGGAUAACUGUAGUAAUUCUAGAGCUAAUACAUGCCACUAUGCCCUGACCCGCGAGGGAACGGGUGGAUUUAUUAGAACAGAACCAACCGGUUGUGGCCUCGGUCACUUCCGUUGCACUCUGUGAUGACUCUGGAUAACUUCACUGAUCGCAGUCGGCCUUGUGUCGGCGACGGAUCUUUCAAAUGUCUGCCCUAUCAAUUUUCGAUGGUAGGUGACCUGCCUACCAUGGUGAUAACGGGUAACGGGGAAUCAGGGUUCGAUUCCGGAGAGGGAGCCUGAGAAACGGCUACCACUUCCAAGGAAGGCAGCAGGCGCGCAAAUUACCCAAUCCCGGCACGGGGAGGUAGUGACGAAAAAUACGGAUACGGGACUCAUCAGAGGCUCCGUAAUUCGAAUGAGUACACUUUAAAUCCUUUAACGAGGAUCAACUGGAGGGCAAGUCUGGUGCCAGCAGCCGCGGUAACUCCAGCUCCAGAAGCGUAUAUUAAAGUUGUUGCAGUUAAAAAGCUCGUAGUUGGAUCUGGGUCGCAUGGCUACAUGCUGCGCUUGUAUUUCCAAUCUGGUUACGACUGGAGCGGAUUUGUGAGUCAGUGUCGUGGUUGUGCAGCCUUUCUGCCGUGUCUGGUUUCCAGGUGCUGACUUUCGGUGGGCUCGCCCUGCCGUUUAGUUGGCAUGCUUCUCGAUGCCU
rnacentral:rRNA from 1 species